CUAAGAAUAUUCCGCAAUGGACGAAAGUCUGACGGAGCGACGCCGCGUGGAUGAUGAAGGCCGAAAGGUUGUAAAGUCCUUUUGCUGGGGAAGAAUAAGUGUGGGAGGGAAUGCCCGCAUGAUGACAUGAACCGGCGAAUAAGCCCCGGCCAACUACGUGCCAGCAGCCGCGGUAACACGUAGGGGGCGAGCGUUGUUCGGAAUUACUGGGCGUAAAGGGCAUGUAGGCGGUCUGGUAAGCCUGGCGUGAAAGGCCACAGCUCAACUGUGGGAUUGCGUUGGGAACUGCUGGGCUUGAGUUAUGGAGAGGGAGCUAGAAUUCCUGGUGUAGGGGUGAAAUCUGUAGAUAUCAGGAAGAAUACCGAUGGCGAAGGCAAGCUCCUGGCCGAUGACUGACGCUGAGGUGCGAAAGUGUGGGGAUCAAACAGGAUUAGAUACCCUGGUAGUCCACACUGUAAACGAUGUGCACUAGGUGCUGGGGCGGUAGCUUCAGUGCCGGAGCGAACGUGGUAAGKGCMCCGCC
rnacentral:rRNA from 1 species